rnacentral:tRNA from 1 species
GAGGGCAUAGCUCAGUGGUAAAGUAUGUGCUUAGCAUGCACAAGGUCCUGGGUUCAAUCCCCAAUACCUCCA